GUCUGCGCUGGUGGAGAGGGCGGCGGCGAUCUGUUCCAGGGACAGGUCGGUGGUGAAGCGCAGUCGGCGGCGUUCGUGAGCGUCGGGUAGACGC
rnacentral:tRNA from 1 species